UGCUGCUGCUGAGGCGCGUCUGUACUGUACUGACAGGGGCAGCUCCCUCAGACGAGCCUGGCCAUUGUGGUGAGCUGCACCACAGAGGGAGGCAGCAUGGAGAGAGGAAGCAGACGUAUGGCCAUAAUAUAGUUGUUUUGGAGAAACACCUGCCCCCUCCAGAGG